UACGUAGGCAGCGAGCGUUGUUCGGAGUUACUGGGCGUAAAGGGUGUGUAGGCGGUCCCUUAAGUUUGGUGUGAAAUCUCCCGGCUCAACUGGGAGGGUGCGCCGGAUACUGAGGGGCUAGAGUGCGGGAAGGGAAAGUGGAAUUCCUGGUGUAGCGGUGAAAUGCGUAGAUAUCAGGAGGAACACCGGUGGUGCAAACGGCUUUCUGGACCGUAACUGACGCUGGAGAACACGAAAGCGUGGGGAGCAAACAGG
rnacentral:rRNA from 1 species